UACGGAGGGUGCGAGCGUUAAUCGGAAUCACUGGGCGUAAAGGGCGCGUAGGCGGCCAACUAAGUCAGACGUGAAAUCCCCAGGCUUAACCUGGGAACUGCGUCUGAUACUGGAUGGCUUGAAUUCGGGAGAGGGAUGCAGAAUUCCAGGUGUAGCGGUGAAAUGCGUAGAUAUCUGGAGGAAUACCGGUGGCGAAGGCGGCAUCCUGGACCGGCAUUGACGCUGAGGAGCGAAAGCCAGGGGAGCAAAC
rnacentral:rRNA from 1 species